rnacentral:rRNA from 1 species
UACGUAGGGAGCAAGCGUUGUCCGGAAUCAUUGGGCGUAAAGAGCGCGUAGGCGGCCCGGUAAGUCGGUUGUGAAAGUCAAGGGCUCAACCCUUGAAUGCCGACCGAUACUGUCGGGCUAGAGUCCGGAAGAGGCGAGUGGAAUUCCUGGUGUAGCGGUGGAAUGCGCAGAUAUCAGGAGGAACACCAAUAGCGAAGGCAGCUCGCUGGGACGGUACUGACGCUAAGGCGCGAAAGCGUGGGGAGCGAACAGG